UAACACGUANGGAACCUGCCCGCGCACCGGGAAUACGCUCUGGAAACGGAGAACAAAUCCCGAUGUACAGGAAGGAGGCAUCUUCUUUCUGUGAAACAUCCUUUAGGGGAUGGGGCGCGGAUGGACCUGCGGUGCAUUAGUUGGUUGGCGGGGUAAAGGCCCACCAAGACGAUGAUGCAUAGCCGGCCUGAGAGGGCGGACGGCCACAUUGGGACUGAGACACGGCCCAGACUCCUGCGGGAGGCAGCAGUAGGGAAUUUUCGUCAAUGGGCGCAAGCCUGAACGAGCGAUGCCGCGUGAGUGAAGAAGGCCUUCGGGUCGUAAAGCUCUGUUGCGGGGGAAAAAAGGCAGCAUCAGGAAAUGGGUGCUGACUGAUGGUGCCCCGCCAGAAAGUCACGGCUAACUACGUGCCAGCAGCCGCGGUAAUACGUAGGUGGCGAGCGUUAUCCGGAAUGAUUGGGCGUAAAGGGUGCGCAGGCGGUCCUGCAAGUCUGGAGUGAAACGCAUGAGCUCAACUCAUGCAUGGCUUUGGAAACUGGAGGACUGGAGAGCAGGAGAGGGCGGUGGAACUCCAUGUGUAGCGGUAAAAUGCGUAGAUAUAUGGAAGAACACCAGUGGCGAAGGCGGCCGCCUGGCCUGUUGCUGACGCUGAGGCACGAAAGCGUGGGGAGCAAAUAGGAUUAGAUACCCUAGUAGU
rnacentral:rRNA from 1 species